rnacentral:lncRNA from 1 species
UCACACAAAAGACCAUUAUUCACCAUACGCAAACUCAGCCUCCACGAAGCAACUAACCACCGUGAAAAUUUCGAUUGUUCCACCAUAUAAAUCCGCCUCACACUACUCCCUUUUUCGGCGAACCCCCCAUCGUGCACCACCAACCAACCUCCAAUCGGAAUACAAAUCCGCUUCAUCCAUCUCACUCACGCAUCAACACACAAACCACCUUUUUUCUUCUGUGAAAUCCAUAUGCCUGCAACUUGUUCACCAACCUAACUCCCUCCAAACACAAGCCAAACACAUUGCACAACAACUUGCACCACUCUUCCAACUCACAACCAUACACCGUCCGUGAAACUAUCAACUUAUUGGCAACCAAAUCAAACAACCUUCGGCCACCUCUAACACAAACACCACUCCGCCGUGAAACCGUUCUAACACCAAAAUUCCACCUCCAAUCACUUCAUCAAAACCACCAAACGCAUACUCAUCCCUCACUUUGAUCUUAACAAACUCUUGCGAAUCAUUCUACAACUCUGGAAACGACAACACCAACAUUUUCGUUCAAUUCCGGCAAGUGCUUCAUCAAAGCAACAACACUGCAAUUGGUAAUAAUUUGGUUUCGAAUAUUCUUU